GAUGAACGCUGGCGGCGUGCUUAAUACAUGCAAGUCGAGCGGACGGACGAGAAGCUUGCUUCUCUGAUGUUAGCGGCGGACGUGUGUGUCACACGUGGAUCCCCUCCCUAUAAGUGUGGGAUAACUUGGGGAAACCGGCGCUAAUCCCGGAUAAUCUUUUGAUCCGCAUGGUUCAAAAGUGAAAGUCGGUCUUGCUGUCACUUCUCGAUGGAUCCGCGCUUCUUUAGCUAGUUGGUACGGUAACGGCCUACCAAGGCAACGAUGCCUAGCCGACGUGAUAGGGGGAUAGGCCACACGGGAGCGGGAACACGGUCCAGACGCCUACGAGAGGGAGCAGUAGGGAAUGUGCCGCAGUAGGGGAAAGCCUUACGGAACGGCGCCGCGUGUGAGAUGAAGGUCUUCGGAGCGGAAUACUCGGUUAUGAGUGGAAAACAGAUUUGUAAGGAACUGUAGACAGCGUGACGGUACCUAAUCAGGAAGCCACGGCUAACUACGUG
rnacentral:rRNA from 1 species